AGCAAAGAGAAAGAGCUGUUAGUUUAUGGUGCUUGGUAAAUGCUGAAUGUUUGCUAGUAUGGACUUAAAUGCUUCCCCCAUUACCUGAAGAUGACGAAGAGACAUAUGAAAGACAUAAAGAACAUUACUACGCACCAGAAGAACAUGUAGAAUCUGCAGUUGAAAUUUUAAGAAGGGAACGUGAGGAAAGACGGAAGAAGUUGAAAAAAGACCAACCAGAAUACCAGCCAGUACAUGUCUCUCAGCCUCAAAUACUUGAUCACUUUUAUCAGAAUAGGAAUCCAAAGUUUUAUGAUAAAAGUAGGAUCCCUUCUGGUUAGUUUGGUUUUCCUUCGGUUGAUCAGGAAAUAGGCUGCAUCAUUCCUUCUAAAACUCCACUUGGUGAAUCUUAUAAUGACUGUGUUCUGCCUGGUAAAAGAUACUUUUAAACAAGUGAUUCAUCAGCAAAGAGUUUUAGGAAGAAAGCUUGGUUGGGUCAUUGAUUUGACGAACACAUCUCGUUACUAUCAAACUACAGACCUGAAGAAAGAAGGCAUUAAGCAUGUAAAAGUGUCACAAUUCCUACUACGUCAGAAAUCAAAGAAAUAUAUUC